GCCAUGGUUGGAGACCCCUGUUCCAGAGCACAGGGUCUGCCCCAAAAAUUUCCUAGGUCCCGCAAGGGAACACGGGGUCUGCCCCACGUUUCCUAGGUCCCACAAGGGAGCAAGGAAGGGGCAUGAAUUUAAGUAGCCAAGAAAUUGGGGGCAAAAAGCCAAGGGGGAAUGCUUAGCUCUGUUGUAUGAAUACAGCAAACACAAAGUUCUCAGGUAAAUUAGAAGAACUAGUUCAGUGAGGUUUCCCACCCACCCCCAAGCUUGGCAACUUUAAGAUGUGCAGCUGGGAGUUGGAAGUCCUGCACAUCUUAAAAGUUACCAAGUUUGAACUACACUGAGCUGGAUUGUGGUUGGUCUUUGCCAAGGGUCCAGAAAAAAAAGCCCUCACCGGACCAUGGGCAGAGAGAGGACAGGCUCUCCACAAGGAGGUUACGCCUGAUGCUGAGUCACUCCAGAAGGAAAGCAUCUUGUCUUAAGCAGGGACAGGAACUGCCUGGUUUCUGACUUGAGGCAGAACUUGCCUCCAAUUAUUUUCCUUCAAGUGAGGAAAGGUUAGUUCUGUAGGGUGGGGCCGGACUAAGACGGAUUCCAGAUCCUUCACUUGCCUAUGAUUUUCCUACGGACAAACCCUUUCAAACUUCUUUCUUUUUUUCCCUGUGCUCUAAUGUCAUUCUCAGAUCUCACCUGAAGUCAUCAGGAAUUGCUUCUGAUGGAGAACUCUAGGGAAAAUGAAAGAAACGGCACAGCCAAAUUCCAGUUAUUAAGCACUCUUUUCCAGGGGUGAAAUCUGAACCAGUUUACUACUGGUUCGCAGUGCACACCAUGCAACAAAUGUGCAGUGCACGCCAAAAGGAGGCAUGGGGCUGGCCGUUGGCUUAGAACUUCCUCUUGGCUUGUCUUGGAAAGAGAACUGAGCCAGUGAACUCAACAGCAUCAACUGAAAUCCAUUCAAUCUUUUAAACUCCAUGAGAUCACAAACACCCACAACUCAUUACUAUUUGGGGGCAUUCCUGUAUGCAUCCAUGCUUGAAAGAAGCCUCGAGUGAUGUCACCGUCUUACACAUCUCGCAAAACCUCCAAUGCACUCUUUCUCAACGGAACGACAUCCAUUAUUGGGAGUCAAGAAGUGAUGAGACAUGAACACACGCAUGAAUCAACCCCUUAAUUAAGAACAAUCCAGGACAUUGUUGUUAAAUCAAGAUGUGAGUGGGUAGAAGCCAUUACUCUAUUCCUUGAUGGAUGAAAAUGGUGAUCCCGCCUUCAGCUGGCAUUACCCAGUUAUAACACCCUUAGUGCUCUCUUACGUGGGAAGGAGGCACAGCCAAGAAUGCCAUGUGAUCAUGAUUUGUAUGGAGUGCCCUAUAUAUUUUAGGGAGGGUGUCCACAAUUAAAACUUUUCUCUGGGGGGAAAAAACCUAUCUAUUUUAUUGCAUAAAAUAUGCCUCAACAUUCUACCUACAAUGAACUACUUCCAAGACUUCAGCUGUGAAUCAUUCAUUCAUUCGUUCAUUUAUUUGUAUCCUAUCUUUAUUUUAUUUUUUACAAGUAACU